GUGAAAAUUUUCGCAUCUAACAAAGAUUGGUGCGAGACUCGUCUCAAAUCUCCCGAACUCUCCUCCAAAUCGCCCCCAAAUCCAGUCCGAUGUGUACCCUCGUCGCCGCCGCCCCCAAACGCGAUGUGCCCUUGCCGCCGCCGCCGCCGCCCCCGCCCCCAACCACCGCACCCAGCCUCCUCUAUCUGACUAUGUCCUCACCCCCAAGCAGCGGACCGUCCGUCCCCUCUCGCCCGUGUUCGCCGCCUCCUCCUCACACGCGUCGCCGCAGCCCUUAUCUUCUCACCGGCGGCGCCUGUUUCUUUCGCCCCACGCCGCCUCUCGGUCAAGUUAAAGAUGUUUUUUUUGUGAAGAGGAGGUGUGGCAGCGGCAAGGAGCAACAAAAUGAGCUAUGCAGCCGGAUGAUUCUGAAGUUGCUGGAUCUGAAGCGGGAGGACGUCGCCAUGUAGCUCGAGCGGGAGGAGCGUGGGCACGCGGCGGCCUUCUCCUCCUUGACGACGGCAGCGACGAACACCAGGGCUCCCCAUCGCCCUCCACCUGUAAGGAGGAGCGCCUACCACUAGGUCGGGCCCGAGAGGUGCAGCAGCAGCAGGGGGCGAGGCGGCACGCACCUUGGUGGUGGGCUCGUCUUUGAGGCACUGGGGGUUAUCCACGGCGUCGUGGACGCCGGGCAGCUGCGGGUCCCCGUUCAGGCUGCGGCAUCUCCUCCAUGUGCGCCGCCAUCGUCCUUUGCUGCGUCAACGGCAGAUUGUGGCGAUGUCUGUGUCUGCAGGUAAACCUCUUGCGCUUGACCAUGAGCAGUAGCAAGAUGCUGGGCUGAACAUAUUGGGGAGAUGUUGUCCGUCUACAUGUAGUUGAACGUGAGGACAGUAACUUCAUGAGCUGCUAAUAAUUCAGCUACUCCCCUGCCCCUGAUAUUUCUGUCGUUGUUGUUUAUACAUGCUCGGAAUAACUUGAUGCCUUCAGGUACUGUUAAUUGUUGUUGUUGUUGUUGUUAUCUGAACAUGCUGGGCGUACUGUAGGAGUAAUUGUAUUGUUGCUUAGAUACUGUAUUUUCUUGGAGUAAAUGUUGUAGUUCAACUGAAAUCAAAGUUUCUGAAAUCAUGUUUAUCAAGGGUUGUAUGUACUGAAAUCAACAUCUCUGAAACAACAUUCAGAUAUGCAGGAUUCUAAUGCCUAAUAAUAUGGUUGAGAUAUGCUAGAUAAUGCUCCAUUUCAAAUUGGAUAAUGCUAGAUAGUGUGCGAUGCCGUCCGACAAACUAGGCACAUCCACCUCCGUACCACUGUUUCCUGGGCAGAUUUAUUUUACGAGGGGCGUUUCCUGGGCAAAAUUGUGUUGGCAGGUGAUGAAACGGAUCUGGGCGCAUGGCCGGUGGCGGAGGGAUCCAGCCCUAGGAAGGCAGGAAUAACUUGCAUCCUCGACUAGUCAUCCCCAGAUGCGCAAUUAGUUAAAUUACAAACUGGUAUGUUCAUCCGGGAUUAAUAGACCUGGGCUUACUUCGAGGUUAGAGUGUGGGAAUGAUCCAUGGGGAUGUUCAUGACUUCAUUAUCUUACUAGUAUUUGGUUCAGGGAUUUGUUCUAUGUAGUUGAAUGUUAACUUUAAAAUUUGAAUCGAUGAGGAGAUUUUCUUUAGCACACUAUUUGUCUGUCAGAUUUGAUGAGAUAUAUUCUUGAAAGCUCUCCAUUUCGAAUAUACUCACAAAUCACAACACUUAAUUUAUGAGGAUUAUAAAUCCAUUCUUUUUAUCUUGUAGUGUAUUCUAGAACCCUUUUGAUGGUAAUUUGGAUAGUUAUACUUUUGUUGGGGCAAGUUUGGUUCUAUGCAUGAGAUGGUUCUCUGGACUAUGAAACUAAUAUACUAUAUAGAAGUUCACUUUAAAGUUACAUUUGUAUGAUUACUAUGUUUAUAUUUGCACUUCAUUAGUAAUGUUGAUUGGUGGUUCAGAAGUUUGGGCCUAUUUUUAUAUGAGCUGUAUCCAAUCACUUCUAGAUUUUGAUUUCCACACUUAGGCACAAGCUUAGUAGUAACUUAGGAGUAGUAGAUACGCUAGAUAAUGCUCCAUUUCAAACUAGAUAAUCCUCCAUUUGAAACUAGAUAGUGCUGACAAAGAUGAGGAUGGACAAUGUGAGUCUGCCUUGCUGAUAUUUUCACUUGGGGCCUUCUCGGCAUGGCUUCUUGCAGGCCUCCCCUCCCAACUCCCCUCCCUCUUUCUCCAUGCUAUGCAGCACCACCUCUGUGUGCUCACAUUGGAUGUAAACCAACCCUGAUGGCCCAUCGUGGAGGCUGCAGAGCUCAUUAGAGUGUAGAUUGGAUACACUGUGUUUCAACUGCAACUUAUUUGAGUAACAAGAAGUUUAUUUUCUAUCUUCUGUAUCUGCUCCGAAUUUAUUUUUACACCUUAAUAAUCUGCUUCUAUGUAUGCAGCUGGAAGUGGAUAAGUCUGGCAAAAGCAACAAUGCGACCACAUGCAACUCUGGAGGGAUUUGUCAAAGAUACACAAGCUGAUGCGGUUUGGAAGAUGUACAAGUUGCUGGAGGUUUGGAAGAUCUACAAGUUGCUGGAGUGAUAAUAUAUAUGUAAUAUGCCUUAUUUGUUGAACCUUGAGACAUCGGCAAGUUUUACACUGCAUUUGGUUGGUUGUUUCAGCACACAAGCCAUUGUGUACUUAUUUUGGUUGUGUGGCACGAUUUCUUUAUCUUAAAGAUAUGUACUUUGCCUUCUGAGGCACAAUGGCAUUAGAAACGUA